rnacentral:lncRNA from 1 species
UUAAAAACUCCUAGCUCAUAUGAAUUUUCUUUAUGCUCAUUCUGUCUGUGUUAGUUUAGCUAGGAUAUUAAUUUGCAAAAAAGAAAAGAAAAAAAAAAGAAGAAAGAAUAUAUGACAGUGCUAGGUCACAAAUUGGUCUCCACAUUUGUGUACUUUUCUUUCUAAACCAGAAAACGGUUCCCACACACACACGUAGCAUAAGCAUACCUGCAAGUCAUAUGCAAAGUCCCUGAAACUCUGACUCUCUGGCAGUAACAACCACGCUGUUGUUUUCUUCAAGAAACGGCCACUGCUAUGUGCUGUGCAGAGAAACAAGGCUGCUGGGCCCAGUGACAAAACUUAGGAACAGUUGAAAGUACUUCCAGGAACCUGCUCCCGGCAUCAAUCAAUGUAGGCCAUGCAAGUACCUAACGCAGAUUCAUCACGCAUCCUGUGCCUCCAAAGUUGGUGCAAUAUCGCACAUCCCCUUUGACCUGAUCGGCAUCCAUGCACGUGUGUUAGCUAGGGAAAUAAGCCCCAGGCUGUACAGAAGGCAACAUGUCACACACGUUCUCUCGCCUUGGCCAUUAGAUGAGCCAUCGAAAAGUUUCAGUAAGGUGAGAAAAGUCACCUAAUUCAGCAUGAUUCUACGAUAAGACACAACAAUAAUGUCCUAAUGAUCUUAGACAUUACCCUUCAUCUAGAAAACCUGUAUUUCUUUUAAGGCACCACGCUGCUGUAGCGGCAUACUUUUAUCCACAAAGGCGUGGGAUACGAAUCCCUGUUCCCAUGAUGACCAAUAUAAAAAAACAUCC